UACGUAGGGACCAAGCGUUGUCCGGAAUCAUUGGGCGUAAAGAGCGUGUAGGCGGCUUGUUAAGUCUUGCGUGAAAUCUCGGGGCUCAACCCCGAGCGGUCGUGAGAAACUGGCAGGCUAGAGUGCGGGAGAGGAGAGUGGAAUUCCUGGUGUAGCGGUGAAAUGCGCAGAUAUCAGGAAGAACACCCGUGGCGAAGGCGGCUCUCUGGAACGCAACUGACGCUGAGGAGCGAAAGUGUGGGGAGCGAACAGG
rnacentral:rRNA from 1 species